UACAACAUAUUGAAUUAUUUUCUAUUUGGUCUAAUUGAUAUAAUCAUGUCUAAUAGAGUUCACAAUCUUUACUUUGAAGAUCUGUAGCUAGACGUUAGAACUGUUGACAUGCAAAUAAUUAACUAACUGCAUGUCGUACUUGAAUUAUAGGUUUUUUGUUUUCGUCACUCCUUUGUUAUAUGGAAGAAGACUUCAUGACUUUGUGAAGCCACAUGAGCUAGGGGUUGCACCGCAGGAGCAUAGCGUGUACAAGUACUGAACAUUGAAGAUUGCAUUGCAGCUCAUCAGUAGAAGAUAGCGACAGAGUGCUGCAGGAUAAUGAGAUAUUGAA